rnacentral:pre_miRNA from 1 species
GAGUCUUCAAGUAAAAAGGAAAAAUGCAAAAAUGGGAGCUCCUUUGAGGACAAAGAAAGCACUUUGGAUCGUCUUUUUGCUCAUUGAAGAGUCAUCCUUUGGACUGAAGGGAGCUCCUAAUUCUUCUCUUUUUAUCCUCACCCUC